rnacentral:rRNA from 1 species
AAAGGGGGGGGCAACCCCCUGAGUAGAGCGGCGCACGGGUGAGUAACGCGUGGGUAACCUACCCCCAGGCGGGGGAUAACUACUCGAAAGGGUGGCUAAUACCGCAUGAGACCACGGGAUCUUCGGAUCCUGAGGCUAAAGAUUGCACCGGCUUGCCGGUGCCGUCACCAGGGGAUGGGCCCGCGUCCGAUUAGCUAGUUGGCGAGGUAACGGCUCACCAAGGCUACGAUCGGUAGCUGGUCUGAGAGGAUGAUCAGCCACACUGGAACUGAAACACGGUCCAGACUCCUACGGGAGGCAGCAGUGAGGAAUAUUGCGCAAUGGGGGAAACCCUGACGCAGCAACGCCGCGUGGGUGAAGAAGGCCUUCGGGUCGUAAAGCCCUUUCGGACGGGACGAACGCUCCACGGUGAAAGCCGUGGAGUCUGACGGUACCGUAGGAAGAAGCACCGGCUAACUCCGUGCCAGCAGCCGCGGUAA